CUACGUGCCAGCAGCCGCGGUAAUACGGAAGGUCCGGGCGUUAUCCGGAUUUAUUGGGUUUAAAGGGAGCGUAGGCCGGAGAUUAAGUGUGUUGUGAAAUGUAGACGCUCAACGUCUGACUUGCAGCGCAUACUGGUUUCCUUGAGUACGCACAACGUUGGCGGAAUUCGUCGUGUAGCGGUGAAAUGCUUAGAUAUGACGAAGAACUCCGAUUGCGAAGGCAGCUGACGGGAGCGCAACUGACGCUUAAGCUCGAAGGUGCGGGUAUCGAACAGGAUUAGAUACCCUGGUAGUCCGCACAGUAAACGAUGGAUGCCCGCUGUUGGUACCUGGUAUCAGCGGCUAAGCGAAAGCAUUAAGCAUCCCACCUGGGGAGUACGCCGGCAACGGUGAAACUCAAAGGAAUUGACGGGGGCCCGCACAAGCGGAGGAACAUGUGGUUUAAUUCGAUGAUACGCGAGGAACCUUACCCGGGAUUGAA
rnacentral:rRNA from 1 species